GCCGAUGUGGCGGAAUUGGUAGACGCGAUAGAUUCAAAAUCUAUUCUUGGCAACAAGGUGCCGGUUCGAGUCCGGCCAUCGGCA
rnacentral:tRNA from 1 species